rnacentral:lncRNA from 1 species
CAGAGUCUUAUUUCUCUUCUUUCUUUCUUUCCAUUGUUUUUGAUUUGAUGUUACAUGAUUGAUAACAGCAUUUUGUGCCAUGGGAAUCUUGCUCUCUUUGACUGUGCUGGUUACCUCUGCUUUUUCACAGAAGAAGCCAGCCAAGAGUCUCUAAAAGAUGUCUUGAAUGAUCUCAGUGAAGAUCCAGGAUCCCAGGAGAUCAUUUGCAGCUCUUUAACAAGAAAAAGCUCCAUGUUUUUGUACAGGUUGCUAAUCAUAUUUCAAACCAGAACCACCCGCUGA